UCCGUAGGCGGGCCAUUAAGUCAGGGGUGAAAGUCUGCGGCUCAACCGUAGAAUCGCCUUUGAUACUGGUGGUCUUGAGUUAUGGUGAAGUGGCUGGAAUAUGUAGUGUAGCGGUGAAAUGCAUAGAUAUUACAUAGAACACCGAUUGCGAAGGCAGGUCACUAACCAUAUACUGACGCUGAUGGACGAAAGCGUGGGGAGCGAACAGGAUUAGAUACCCUGGUAGUCC
rnacentral:rRNA from 1 species